CCUACGGGUGACAGCAGUGAGGAAUAUUGGUCAAUGGGCGCGAGCCUGAACCAGCCAAGUCGCGUGAGGGAGGACGGCCCUACGGGUUGUAAACCUCUUUUGCCGGGGAGCAACGGGCACCACGUGUGGCGUCACUGAGAGUACCCGGAGAAAAAGCAUCGGCAAACACCGUGCCAGCAGCCGCGGUAAUACGGGGGAUGCGAGCGUUAUCCGGAUUUAUUGGGUUAAAAGGGUGCGUAGGCGGAUCGUUAAGUCAGUGGUCAAAUUGAGGGGCUCAACCCCUUCCCGCCAUUGAAACUGGCGUUCUUGAGUGGAAGAGAGGUAUGCGGAAUGCGUGGUGUAGCGGUGAAAUGCAUAGAUAUCACGCAGAACCCCGAUUGCGAAGGCAGCAUGCCGGCUUCCGACUGACGCUGAAGCACGAAAGCGUGGGGAUCGAACAGGAUUAGAUACCCCGGUAGUC
rnacentral:rRNA from 1 species